UUUAAAGAUGAAUGUUGUUUAACUUAAAGAUGUGAAAAAGAGAGAAAACAAAAAAUAAACAUCUGAAACGAAUCAUGUCUAAGCUCUGUACAACAGACUAGGCAUUAAGGGGUCUCUUUCUCUCUGCGACUAGAAUUACAUCAAAAAUAGUACUACAUGAUUUAUGCUAAACUCUUAUUUAAUAUAGUACUACUUGUAGCUAGCUAGCUAUCAUCAUGUGCCAUAACAAAUAUCAACCCUCCAUCGAAGAUGAAGUCAGAAGAAUCCGGCCAAUCAACACACAUAUAUCAACUGCAAAAAGUAAAAAAGAAAUACGGUUAAACUGUGACACAAACAUAUAGACAACUGUUAUAGCUGUGUUUAACAUAUUUGCACUAACUGAAUGGAAAUUUGGUCAUGAUUUGCAAAGCAUUCACUUGAAAUAAGGUGUGAUCAAUUAUCCAUGAGGUUUAAAAAAGCACAGAUCCUCCAAUAUAAAAAUACUGGACACAUGAUAGCCUAGUCAAUAGAACCAAAAUCACAUAUAUAGAGUUGAAUAUAUUCUUAUAGAACUAAAUUGCCAGAACAUCACUAGAUUAUAAACUAUAGGAUUUAUUAUCCUUAGGGAAAUCAACGUUAAUUUUCUUCAUAUCUUGGCCAAGUAAAGACAUUUUUUCUUUGAUCAUUACAAAUUUCAAAACUCAAACAACUACCAAAUCAAGCAGAGACUACAUACACCCAACUAGGGCUGGGCACGGGACGGGACGGGCCGGGAUUUGAUGAAUCCCGUCCCGUCCCAAAAAUAAAAGAACGGGACGGGACGGGACGAGAAGGUGUUUUUAAAAAUCUGUCCCGUACUUCCCGAUCCCGAUACGGGACCAGGACGGGAUCGGGAUCCCGACAAAUUUUUUUUUUUUUUUUCAAGAUUAAAUUAAUUGAUUAUCAAACACCACCACAGGUGAAAAAACGGGUUGAGAAACUCCAAGCAUUCAAAUGCUCCACCACAAUUGAUCAGUGUAUGAAAUUUUCGACAUUUUUAUGCUGUUUGGAACAACAUUAAUGAAAUUAAUGGAAAAAAAAAAUNUCCAAAAACACAUAAACAAAAAAAAAAGAAAUUGAUGAAAUUAGAAGUACUAAAAUCAACAAGAAGAUAGGUGCAUAGGUGCUAAAUUACAUACCCACUUUAAAAGUACUAAACAUACCCACAUUAAAAAUUAACCCCCAAACAACAACUAAAAAUAUCCAAAAUCACACAAGACAAAAAAAAGAACAUGAAUGAAAUUAAAAGUAUUAUUUUAGACCAAAUUAAGUGUGGUUGAGUGCAUUGUAACACCAUGCAACCUAAAAAAUCAAGUAUAAAAUGAAUAAAAUCAAGUAUUCUAAUAUUACGGGACGGGACGGGAUUUUUCAGGAUAGUCCCGUCCCGUCCCGUCCCGUUAUGGUAAUGUUAAAACGGGACGGGAUGGGACGGGAUUGCUAUUUUCAAAACCUAUCUCGUCCCGUCCCGCUAACUUUCGGGACGGGACCGGUACGGGAUCAGGAUUCCGGUACUAAGUGCCCAGCCCUACACCCAACAUCAGAUUACUCAAAGUAAUAUCACAGUGAAAUCAAGUAACUCCAAAUCAAAAGAACAUUUCUCUUUAUAUGAUCCAACAUACAUCUUUCAAGAGCUCAGAUAAAUCCUCUGUUAAAUGUUGCAUCUAUAAUAUCCUACUCAAAUGAAUUAGACAAGCCUAAUUAAUCACAUAACACACCAAUUGAUCUACCUAGACAAAACAACUUGAAACACCAGUUCAUCAAUUUGGCCGUUGUUCUUCUUCCAACUUUCUCCAAUCAAUACUAUUAGGAUUUAAGAUUAAUUGAGAAAUAAGAAUGAAGAGAAAAAUCAAUACCCAACUUGCUUUUGGGAAAGAAGAGUACCCGACGCCGUUCCUUAACAUAACAUAUCAACUGGAUGACACUACGGCCUUGAGCAGCGACGGAUCAGGCUUCAUCGUCAAGAACCCAUGGUGUUCGCCAAAUCGCAAAGUCAAUAGAGAUUUCUAUGCAUGAUCUCAGAGCAAUCGAGCUCUUAGAGGUUUCUAACAAAAAAACCCAAUCAUAGAGACGGAGGAAAUGACAACGACGAGGAACAAGAGACAAAUCUGAGUAUUUGCGAUGAGAAGAGAACAAAAGAGAGACUGAGAACAAGAGAGGGACCUGAGAGAAGAUAGGGUUUCGUAAGUUUCAUAUAUAAGUAACAGAAGAGUAAAUUAUACAGGGCUUUACUGGCUUGGCUGCUUGGGCCGGGCCGGGCCAAGCCUUCAGGGCUUCAACGGGCAGGGCUUUGGGCCGGGCCAAGGCUUCAAACCCCCCGCCCUAGCCCAGCCCUAUACCCAAAGGGCCGGGCUUGAAUGGGCUUUAAACCGGGUCGAGCCGGGUUUCGGGCCAAUGGGCCACCGGGCCGCCCAUGGGUUUUUUAAGCCCACGGGCCAAAUGAUGACCCCUAUACUAAUGUAUAGAUCAUCUCUGCAAAAUUUCAGCCAAUUUAGUUAUCAUUAAGGCACUCAAACUCGAUUAAACCAAUGGAUGAACAUAAUUCUGUCGAACUUGAACCGUUCAUGUUUAUAACAGAAAAAAUGCAGUUUUGAGUGUCUUAAUGAUAACCAAAUUGGCUGAAAUUUUACAAAGAUGAUCUAUAUAUUAGUAUCUAAAUACUAAAUGGUGGAGAUGUGAAAAUUCGUUUGAAAAGUGAGUGUAAAGUGGAAAUCCGCACUGUAAGAAUAAAUACGGACNNNNN
rnacentral:lncRNA from 1 species